GGAAGUAAAAGUCGUAACAAGGUCUCCGUUGGUGAACCAGCGGAGGGAUCAUUACAGAGUUAUCCAACUCCCAAACCCAUGUGAACUUAUCUCUUUGUUGCCUCGGCGCAAGCUACCCGGGACCUCGCGCCCCGGGCGGCCCGCCGGCGGACAAACCAAAACUCUUGUUAUCUUAGUUGAUUAUCUGAGUGUCUUAUUUAAUAAGUCAAAACUUUCAACAACGGAUCUCUUGGUUCUGGCAUCGAUGAAGAACGCAGCGAAAUGCGAUAAGUAAUGUGAAUUGCAGAAUUCAGUGAAUCAUCGAAUCUUUGAACGCACAUUGCGCCCAUUAGUAUUCUAGUGGGCAUGCCUGUUCGAGCGUCAUUUCAACCCCUAAGCACAGCUUAUUGUUGGGAACCUACGGCUUCGUAGUUCCUCAAAGACAUUGGCGGAGUGGCAGUGGUCCUCUGAGCGUAGUAAUCUUUUAUCUCGCUUCUGUUAGGUGCUGCCCCCCCGGCCGUAAAACCCCCAAUUUUUUCUGGUUGACCUCGGAUCAGGUAGGAAUACCCGCUGAACUUAAGCAUAUCAAUAAGCGGAGG
rnacentral:rRNA from 1 species